UUUUGCAAAUGGAUAUGAGAUAGUGGAGAUUUCUAGUAAUUUCCUCAAAUAUUAAAAAACUAGUACGCAACCAUUUCUCGACCACCGCCAUCAACCUUACCAACCAACACUGCUGCCUUGACCGCCACCUUCCAUCUGUAAUGGAACACCAUCCAUCGGGGUUCUACCUUCAAUUUUGCUUAUCUACACCUCUUCCAAAUCCUACCCAUCAGAUCCCAACGCCAAUUGAAACACCAGAUUGAAACAGUCCCAUCGCCAUCUCCACCAAAUCCCACCCAUCAGCAGCCAUUCACGACAGAAGAGAUUGAAACACCAUCGCCACGGCCACAGCCCAUAACCCCAGCAAGAAUCCACUAACACCUAACACCACUAGCUAUUGAAGAAGAAGAGGAGAAGGGCUGGCCAGUUUCAGACCCAACAACUUUAUUGCAAUAAGCAAGUCCAUAUUGAGUUAUAGUGAACUCACAGGUUUCAGAUUCAUAACCCAAGGCCCAAUGCUUCUUUAAUGCUUAAUUCAUUUACUUGUACCAAUUGAGAGUGAGAUUUAUAUUGUGGGUUAGGGAUUUUGAUAGAAGGAGUGUGGCGCCGCCAAAAGUUGAGAGAAUUAUGCUAAAGGUUCCAAGGUAUUCUUUUGAUGGUGAAUGGUGGCCUGAACGAUCCAUAUGGAGCGGUUGUGGAAGAAGCGGUGGCACCGACGCAGGUUGUAGUGCUGCCAGCGACAACCGCUGGUGGUUUUGGGGAAGAAGGGGAUGGUGGCGGGUGGUGUGUUCGAUUUUUAUUUUUUUU
rnacentral:lncRNA from 1 species